rnacentral:tRNA from 1 species
CAUUAGGUGGCUGAUUUAAAGCAUUGGAAUUUUAAACCAAAUUAUAGUAAAAUUUUACUCCUUAUGA